rnacentral:rRNA from 1 species
GACGAACGCUGGCGGCGUGCUUAACACAUGCAAGUCGAGCGGAGCGGCGAACGCGUGAGUAACGCGUGAGUAAUUGCCCCCCUCUCUGGGAAUACAGUUGGAAACGGCUGCUAAUACCGGAUAGUGGGGGAUGACUCGCGGCCUAUGAGCUUGUUGGUGGGGUAGUGGCCUACCAAGGCGACGACGGUUAGCCGGCCUGGGAGGGGGACCGGCCACAAUGGGCUGAGGGAGGGCGCAGAGGCCAACGGGGGGCAGUGGUGGAUAAUAUGGUACAGCGGGGGAGACCCUGAUGAGGCAGCGCCGGGUGCGUAAUGAAGGCCUUGGGGUGGUAAACCGCUGUAAGCCAUUACGCGGUAGUGGCAGAAGAAGCACCGGCUAACUACGUGCCAGCAGCCGCGGUAAUAC